rnacentral:rRNA from 1 species
CCUACGGGUGGCAGCAGUGAAGAAUAUUGGUCAAUGGGCGAGAGCCUGAACAAGCCAAGUCGCGUGAGGGAAGACGGUCCUAUGGAUUGUAAACCUCUGUAGGCGGGGAGCAAUGCCGGGCACGUGUGCCCGGAGGGAGAGAACCCGCAGAAUAAGCAUCGGCUAACGCCGUGCCAGCAGCCGCGGUAAUACGGAGGAUGCGAGCGUUAUCCGGAUUUAUUGGGGGUAAAGGGAGCGUAGAUGGGUUGGUAAGUCAGUUGUGAAAGUUUGGGGCUCAACCGUAAAAUUGAAAGUGAUACAGGCAGACUAGAGUACAGUUGGGGGAGGCGGAAUUCGUGGUGUAGCGGUGAAAUGCGUAGAUAUCGCGAAGAACUCCGAUUGCGAAGGCAGCUUCCUAGACUGCCACUGACAUUGAUGCUCGAAAGUGUGGGUAGCGAAAGGGAUUAGAUACCCUUGUAGUC